GGAAGUAAAGGUCGUAACAAGGUCUCCGUAGGUGAACCAGCGGAGGGAUCAUUACUGGAAUCGCAAGAUCUCACAACCCUGUGCACCUACCGAAACGUUGACUCGGUGGGCGAACGGACUCUGUGGCGGGCGCUGCUCCCGCCGGGGGGCCCCUACUCUGUCUCUGGAGCGGGGCAUGGCAGAGGCCCAGAAAACAAGUCAAAACUUUUCUCAACGGAACUUCUUGUUGAAGCAUCGACGCAGAACGCAGCAGGUUGGUAGAGGACACGGCAGUCACGGAGUGUCGGGUAUCAACCUC
rnacentral:misc_RNA from 1 species